GAUCAUGGCUCAGGACGAACGCUGGCGGCGCGCCUAACACAUGCAAGUCGAGGGGCAGCGGGGUGUAGCAAUACACCGCCGGCGACCGGCGCACGGGUGAGUAACGCGUAUGCAACUUGCCUAUCAGAGGGGGAUAACCCGGCGAAAGUCGGACUAAUACCGCAUGAAGCAGGGAUCCCGCAUGGGAAUAUUUGCUAAAGAUUCAUCGCUGAUAGAUAGGCAUGCGUU
rnacentral:rRNA from 1 species